rnacentral:misc_RNA from 1 species
AAAAAAUCCCGAACGUAUCGGGAUUCAUUUUUUGCUAGGAGGGGGCAUAAAAAAAAUCCCGAGCGUAUCGGGAUUUUGU